rfam:Parcubacteria bacterium GW2011_GWF2_43_11 TV65_C0003, whole genome shotgun sequence.
AGCCUAAACUCCAUUUGGAGCAUGGCACAAAAACCAACGACGGCAGAAAGCUCCUAGUCAGAGCACCGUCGUUGGUCAUAUCUCGAAAGGGGUAUGGGUUCCGCAAGGAAUC